rnacentral:misc_RNA from 1 species
CAGGAAACCGAUAAGGCAAGAGUAGCACGGCAUGCUGCGUCGGUGCUUCUCACGGCUUGAGGUCCCGCGCCCCGCUGUGGAGCGCCGCAAGCGCCGCGGCCGUGCUGAGGUCGGCGGGGCCAAAAAGGUCGGGUCUCGCAACCCUGGAAUGCCCGACCUACCCAAGAGUGCUGGCGGAUACGUUUUCCAGCAGCUGCGACCGCGCCUGCCGAUUCGCUGGCAAUACGGCUGGCGGUGGAGCAGUCUCAAAGCGGUCUGGGUGGGGGGCUGGUCAUCGUUUAUCUGCUAUGUAGCUUACGUCAUGUUCUUCAAGUAUACAGACAGCGAGAUUGCGGAACAGGCGACUCAGUACACCUAUGUGCGCAACGACCGUGGGGACGUGGUGGACAUCGGUUUCAAGCCCAUCGUAGACGCCGGAAGGCGGGCCCGCCGCCGUGCUGACCGACUGCUUGAUCCCGACGAGCGGGACUAGCGGAGAACAGGCGAGAGAAGAGGAGGGGUGGGCUGGCAGAGCGGGGAGGAGGGAAGCUGCUGCUUUGUGCACAGCGUCCUUCCUCGGAGGUGUUUGACACGACAGACCUUUUUUUUUUCUUCCUUUAGCGGUGGGUCGAAGUUCUGCCCUCCUGUCCCUCCCCCCUGGGGGUGGGUGGGUGUGCUUGUUUGUCGUCGUUGUACCGCUUUUAGUCGCACGGUGUCGCGAGCGGGCGCCUUCUCAGCUGCCUUUCUUUCUCUUGAAUCACAGGUACAACCGUAAGAUAAUUGCCGUCAAGAGCACAAGGUUGAGUGACUUCGACACUACGAUCAUGCCACGCCACGCCUGGCUCUCUCUACGAAGUACCUCCUUCCUCCUCGACGCCACAUGGGUUGCCGAACUCGACAGUUUCGUUUGGUCGGUGUGCCGAGGGGCAACAGAAGUGGCAGCGUGCCGCGCCACACGGAGGCGCAGCCUCAUACGGGCGCAUCAGCGGACUUUGAAGCACCGCAAGUCGAUCAAGCUGUGCUUGUGACGUUCCCACUGUCUUUCGCUGAUUCUGCUCUCCGGCGAUCUCGCGUUGCGCUGCUCCUUUUUUUUUUCAUCUUGUUCGUGUGUGCAUUUUUGCCUUCAUAUCGCCGAUGGGUGGCGGAAAG